rnacentral:rRNA from 1 species
AGAGCGAACGCUGGCGGCAUGCUUAACACAUGCAAGUCUCACGGGCAGCAAUGUCAGUGGCGGACGGGUGAGUAACGCGUAGGUAUCUAUCCUUGGGUGGGGGAUAACGUUGGGAAACUGACGCUAAUACCGCAUGACACCUGUGGGUCAAAGGCGCGAGUCGCCUGGGGAGGAGCCUGCGUACGAUUAGCUUGUUGGUGGGGUAAAGGCCUACCAAGGCUACGAUCGUUAGCUGGUCUGAGAGGAUGAUCAGCCACACUGGGACUGAGACACGGCCCAGACUCCUACGGGAGGCAGCAGUGGGGAAUAUUGGACAAUGGGCGAAAGCCUGAUCCAGCAAUGCCGCGUGUGUGAAGAAGGUCUUCGGAUUGUAAAGCACUUUCGGCGGGACGAUGAUGACGGUACCCGCAGAAGAAGCCCCGGCUAACUUCGCGCCAGCAGCCGC